rnacentral:rRNA from 1 species
AGAACGAACGCUGGCGGCGCGCUUAACACAUGCAAGUCGAACGCACCGGUUUCGGCCGGUGAGUGGCGGACGGGUGAGUAACGCGUGGGAACCUGCCCUUUGGUCUGGGAUAACCGCGGGAAACCGCGGCUAAGACCGGAUAAUUCCCGUGAGGGGAAAGACAUGUCGCCGAAGGAUGGGCCCGCGUCGGAUUAGGUAGUUGGUGGGGUAACGGCUCACCAAGCCUGCGAUCCGUAGCUGGUCUGAGAGGAUGGCCAGCCACACUGGGACUGAGACACGGCCCAGACUCCUACGGGAGGCAGCAGUGGGGAAUCUUGGACAAUGGGCGAAAGCCUGAUCCAGCGACGCCGCGUGGGUGACGAAUGCCUUCGGGUUGUAAACCCCUUUCGGCAGGGAAGAAGCGCAAGUGACGGUACCUGCAGAGAAGUCCGGCUAACUCGUGCCAGCAGCCAC